ACGCUUAGAGAAGAACGUAAAGGAAGUGCUUGAAGACUUUGCUGAGGACAAUGAAAAGAAGGUUAAGCUCCUAACUGGCAAAAGGGUCCAGCUCGCAGAGGAUCUCAGGCAAUUUCAUUAAUAUGAGGCUCAGAUCGGCUUCCUGAUUGGAAACUAUAAUUACAAAAAUUUCUUUAAAGACCUGAGGUGAAGAUGCUUCCUUCUGAUAUGGCAACCCUAUCGUACUUCCAUCUGUCAGUCCUUUAACGUUGAACACUGGAUGUGUUUUACUGUUUGUUCAAGAUAUGGUUGAUGGCAAACUGUUUCUAGCAUGGUGACUCAAUUUCAUAACGAGAGCUUAUCCCAGAACUUAUUUGAGCAAGUUUUGUCUGUGUUCUACAUCCUGGACUGGUGUUUCAGCCCUGUAUUCUUAAGGAUUAAUAGGGUUUUGGAAAUCUUGCGAUGGAUGGAUCCCAGUAAUAUCCCUGGCAGUGAGCAGGUAUGGGUACUCAAGGAAAAGAAUAAGAACAGGUUAAACAUACAGCAGUACUUGUUAGAUGCUGAAAGAGCAGACCAGACAAUCUGUGGUUCCAAGAUUUCCUAAUCCUGAGGUAAUAUCUUUGUGAUUAAUAGCCCUUCAUGGGUUUCUUUCUCCUCCUGUGAAUUUCUCUAAUUGCUUUUUGAACUCUUAUAAACUUUGGCAUCUGCAACAUCCUGUGGCAAUUAGUUCCAGAGUUUAGCUACACAUUGUGUGAAAAAGUACUUCCUUUUGUUUGUUUCUGAGCCACCUGCCAGUUUCAUUUGGUUCUCCCUAGUUCUUGCACUGUGAAAAACCUUCAGUAAUCUUUCUCUAUUCAGUUUUUGUGCUACUUAUGACUUCAUACAUGCUUAUGCUACCAGCGUUUGCUCUUCUUUUUCCUGAACUGAAAAAUCCUCAUUUGUGUAGUUGCUCGUUGCAAGGACAUUGUUUCAUCAUUUCAAGCAGCCUUGCCACUCUUUUCCUUUUUUUAGUUCCACUAAACCCCUUUUGAAUUGAAAGAGCAGAACUGCACACAGUAUUUGGGCUGUACCUGCGUUCUGGACUUAUGCAGUUGUAUUACAAUUCUUUCUGGUUUUUAAUCUGGUCUUUUACUAAUAAUUCCUCAUAGUUCAUUUCCUUUCUUGACUUCUGAGCAAUGAGAUGAUGAUUAUGUUAGCUACCUGCUGCAACUCACUCUUCUGUGAGAAAUAGCAGCCAGCUCAGCAUCAAUCAGCCUAGUCGUUUUCCUUGCUUUGUUUUAAAAACACAUCUGACUUUUUUUUUGUUUUGUUUUUCUGAGGAUGUGGAAACAAGAAAAUUUCUGUCUCUUAUACAUCUGGUUGGGCACUUCAGGCAUUGUAGGAGCCUGGUUUAAUGUUGGUAUUCAUAACAUCCCUCACAACUCUGGUGCAACAUUAAUACUGAAGUUCUCCACUGAAGUUGUCUGACAGCUGAAAAUCAUAGCCAGGUCUUAAAUCACAUAUUGGAUGGCCUUAUCAGCAACAACAAGACUUGCAUUUGCUUUCCAGUUGGCAGAUGCUUCUUGCUUGUGCACACUGCCAAAGGACAAAGCAUUUUGAUUUGAAACUUAUGUUACACGCAACUUGGUGUUUUCCUGUAUGCUUAGCUAAAUCGGUAUCUUAAACACAUUGUGUGCUGGGUGGUUCAGUAAGAAACAAAAUAGGAUAGUGGAAGCAAAAGUAUUAUGGCAGACAUGGAUAUUUUGAAGGAAAAUUUCCACUUGUGAAAAUACCUUCUGUCAGGACUCUCCUGUCCUUUAUAUUGCAGGCUUUCAGGCACUGCUGCUGGCUGGGUACAACAUCCAGUAGGUAAUGGUGGCAAAUUUCUCUCCUUUGGCUGUGCUGUACACAAGUGUGUAUAGCUGUACACAAAGCUUUCUCACUUUUUCUAAAAUUCUGCUUGACUUAUGCAUUUUAAAUAUCAGUUAUCCUUUGUUAACAGUAUUUUAGAAAGUGAGUCCAUCUGGACUGAGUAUAAUGCAUUUAGAAGAUGGGUAUAUCUUGAAUCUCUCAGUAAUAUUUUAUUUGCUAGAAUGUUACAUGGUUCUGUGAUAUUCUGUUUAACUUUUCCAAGGUGUUUGACAUUAAAUCCUCAAGCAGAUUGCCACUGAGAGGUUGUACAUUUUAAAUACAUUUAAAACGUGUUUUUUUUUCUGCAGAACUUGUUAGAACUGUGAAACUACUGGCAUUUGCUGAGCUUCAGGGCCUUUUUGAUGGCAAUGCUAAGAACAGUUGAUUACUUACGUGAUUCUGUCUGACAUCAAACCAUCUCUGCUAGUUUGAAAGAGCUAUAUCCUUCUGCUUUUCAGUAGCGGGCAUAUGUUUUCUUCAGGGGAAGAAAAAAGAACAUAAAUGUCAGAAAAUUUGGUUUCAAAAUAGAGAAACAACAGGGUAGUGAUUUUAGUUAAGUGCUCUGCAGUUCAGAGCAAAACUGACGAGGUGGAUAAAACUUAACUUUCUGUAGACCAUUUAACAUGGCUGCUUUUGUUGCUGUUGAGCUCCCUGUGAAGGGCUUCCCAGAACUACCCAGCUGUUUUCAGAAUUCUGCUCUGCUGGACUCGCUUCUGUUCUGUUGAAGGCCAAAGGAAACUUCAUUAGCGUCAACUCUGUACAGCAGCGAAGUUGCUUUACAACUUUCCAACGCAAGAUGGCAAUGAGUGGUCUUUAUAGGAGUGAGGAAGUCGAGCAUGGCAGCAGGGCCGGUGCCAAAGCCUCCCAUCGCUGGUUACCGUUUCUCUGUUCUUGAUGCAUGAAUGUGGCACAUCCACAGUGGGCGUUUGUUUGCACAGUGGGCAUUUGUUUCUUGGAUGUUAGCCUUUUUCAUCCGAGGGGAAGAUGCAUUUACCCAGCCUUUUUCCUUCUUGUUUUCUGCUCCCUGAUGUUUUGUUUGCUUAUUUACAUAUUUUACAUAACAUUUAUAAAUAUUGUAAGAGGUGAACGUUUUUCUCAGAUAAUCCUCAUUAGCAGAUGCACGGCAAAUUUUAUUUGGUAAUGAAACCUUCUGACUGUCACAAUCUAAAUGCUUCAACCAUUUGGGAAAGUGAAUGGGACCUUCCAGUAUUGUAUCCUAAACAUAAGCUACAAAUACGUGUUGCAGUGGCAUUUAAAAAUGCUAGGUGGUGCAUGUAUAUUGAAUACCUACAGUGAAUCCUAACAUCAGGCCAUCAGCAGGAGCUUUGCUGUUUACUUCACUAAAGACAAAAUAUUUUACCAAGCCUAAGAAAAUAUGCAUGCUCUAUCUUUCUCUACUUCCUCUUCUUUAUUCCUUUCAGACAGCUAAAGUAUGAGCGUUAUAAAGGCUUAUAAAAGUUAUUUGUGUGAAAAGGUGAUUUUUGCACAGGAUAAUCUCACAGAAGGCUAAUAAAUGCAAAGUAUAUUUCCUCAAUCAUCCAAUAUCCUAUUUCCUCACAAGCUUUUAAAAAAAAAUAAUAAUCCCUGAAUUAUGUAUAAAACCACGUGCAUUUAUGUGGGGAAAGUCCUUGCAAAAAGCUUGGGGAAAUUUGAUCCUGAAUUUACUAGGUUUGAAUGUGAAGGGGUCAGCCUGCAAGUUCAUUUGUCAGUAACACUGACACCUGUACAGGUGUCCUGGGCUAGCUGAGACUUCGUUCUGCACAAAAGCCUUUUGAAACCUGUAGGUAGUGAGCCCUCACAUGAAGAAAAGGCAGUUCUUAGCCUGGGGCCAUUUGUUUGAGUUCUGUCAUACAUUUUUAACUUUGUAAAAUAUAAUAAUUUGUGGAACUUAAUUUUUAAGACUAAAGCGUAUAAAAAACUAAAUCAGUGUUAUAGUAAAAUACUUCAGAGUUCUAUAUCUAAAGCCAUUGCCUCAGUGUCACCACCUGAAGUUCUCAAGAUAUUCUGUUGAAUCCAUUAUAGCUGAAUAUAAACCUUGCAGUUAGACUGUGCUGCGUUCUAUUUUGCAAACUGUCUUUGAGCUCAAAUGAUUUAAUAUCAUAUGUAUAUGUAAUCAAUUUUAAUGCAGUUAGAAAGCUGGCAGUAUGUCUGGUACUUCCAUAUGAAAGCUGAUAACUCGGAAUCUGGGAUUUCUGCACUAUAUUUGGCUGAGUGGGCUCUGUGCCUGUGGGCUUUAAAUCAGUUUGCUCAUACAAGUCAUCUUUUUUCUUUAUACGUUUAUGUAAAGUUGAGGAAGUUUGUGAGUAGCACUUUGCAGACAAUGCCUUGCUCCACGAUUGUGUGGCUUUUUUCCUUUUAUUGCUGCUAGCUGCAGAAUUAAAUGCUGUGCGAAACUCAUAUUGUGGUUAUUACUGUAGUCUAAUUAAAUUUCAGUCUCUUGAGGUGACUGUCAACAGUAUUUUGAUUUUUUACUUCUGUCCUACAUGACAGUGUUGAUUACAUAUGCCCUUGACUUGGCUUUGUCUUAACUUUCUAAUGCCUUUACUUCUAGUUUUUUUUGCUGUUAUGAACUUCACAUUUUUUUUAAAAGGUUAAAAGGUUUCAUGGGGGGAAAAGCUCAGCUGUAGGAGGAAGGUUCUGCUCUCAAAUGGGCAGAUCUCAGAUAAUUUACCCUGGAAACCAAAGGACAAAAGGCCAAAAAGCUGUUAGUAGUUCUUACGUCAGUAUUUGAGGUGGAUGCUCAGAAGCAACAUAGUUUUCAGUGUUUAAAAGACAGAAAAAAAAGGUGUAAUUUUGAAAAUGCUGACUGUAAUGCUCAGAUGUCAUUCGUACUGCAAAAGGGAUUCUCAAAGAAUGACAUGGGAAAAAAAGGCAGCAUUAUAGGAAGUCCAUAUGGAGAAGUUGCUUUUAAGAAUUUGCAGUAUUAUAGUAAUUUUGUGCCCUCUUUUCUUCCGUGGUGUGUAACUGUUGCUUGGGAAGCUACUUAAGGAAAAUGUGGUCACUUCAUAGUUGUGAGAUGUUUCAUGUAAGCGGCAGCAGUCUUGUUCAGCUCCAUUCAGAUGCUUGUGGCAGUGUGCUUGUGAGAAGCACGUAAUUCUGAGCUGACCCUGAGCUGACAGAAGUUUACACAGGAGGUGCUGUGGCCUUUUAUCCAGACAAAAACAGAGGGGCUGUUUCUCCCUGGGAGUCAUCAAAUGCAUUUCCAGUGUGUGCUAAGUAGUGGCUGUCUUCAGUCCCCUCCAACAGCUCCUACUGGGAUGCUCCAUGGCCUGCAUCUUAUCAGAGGCAGACUGUCACUUAGAAAACAUUCAUUUCUGCCUAAAUCUUAAUCAAUUAAAGUGCUCAUGUGGGCCAUGUGUGUCAAACGAGUUCAAGCUUGUUCUGAUGUCAGGAGCAUAGAGGUGACAGCAGGACUGCCAUGCUCCAUUUGAGUCCUGUGUAGGAUGUGGGGCUCUGUGAUGCACAGUCAGGAGUGGUGUGCUUGGAAUUUGGUCAGUGUGGCCAUCCUUGUCUUCCGUUUCCCCUGCCUUUGAAUGUUGCAAGUCAACUAAAAUGCAUCCUGUUAUUUUUAGUAGAUGUGUUUCAGUUCUUUUUCUUUGAGUUCUGGGGCAGCUGCAUGAGACUGAAGAAUUAAAACCAGAAGAAUGUGUAGGAUGGUCUCUGUCAAAAUGCAGAAGAUAAGGUAGUUCCUGCUUUGUAUCACAGCAGAAAGUGCUUUAAAAAGCUGCAUCUUCUCAGAGAGGGAAAUAAUCCUCCAGGGAGAACAUCCAUCACUUGUAAGCCUCCUGUGAUGGAGUGAUGGUUUACUUUACUUAAGAAUCCCAGAUGACCAAGGUCUGUCUGCUGUGAUUUCUUAAAGUUAUUGAUGAAGAGUUAGGCUCUGGUGUCCAGGUUCUAAAACAGAUCCUUAAAAAGUUCAGCACAUUUGUCACUGACUAAGUGAAGCCUAUCACUUAAAGCUGACAUUGAAAAAUAAUGAUAAACUGCUACAUGAGUAAUGACACAUUUAAUGCCUGUUGAUCUAGACCUGUGCCUCAACCCAUGCCUCUUGUACUUGAGGGUCAUUCUGUUGUAUGCCAAAUUUAAUUUUUUUUCCUAAAAUGCCCUUAGUGAUGCAAGGAUCAAGACACGUAAUUGGUUGAUAUUUUCUUUUUCAUGCUGGCUUUUUGAGAGUAGCUAUUAAUCAAGUUGGAAGUACUUAUUGUGAGGAGAUUGCUAUUUGUACAAAUGCAGAAUUUUAAACUAAGCUCUGUAGGUGUGUGUUUGGUAUGAGUAUGUAACUGUAGAGUAUAAUGUUCACAUCUCUAAAAGCUAGAGAAAUCAAUGUAAUGACUUUUCAUGCUGUUGUACAUUGUACUUUGCUUCUAAUGUGUAAGUCUAUACAAAAGCUCAAAGAAAAGGAAAUAUUUUCUGAUAAUGAUUAUGACAAAAUAAUAAAAUAACUGAACAACCUGCUUUUCCCUUAAA